rfam:Camelus ferus unplaced genomic scaffold scaffold259, whole genome shotgun sequence.
UCAAAGGCUCUAUUCAAAGCCACCCACCCUUUCAAAUAAAGAGUUGU